UGGGCGAAAGCCUGAUCCAGCAAUGCCGCGUGUGUGAAGAAGGCCUUCGGGUUGUAAAGCACUUUUGUCCGGAAAGAAAUCCUUGGCUCUAAUACAGUCGGGGGAUGACGGUACCGGAAGAAUAAGCACCGGCUAACUACGUGCCAGCAGCCGCGGUAAUACGUAGGGUGCGAGCGUUAAUCGGAAUUACUGGGCGUAAAGCGUGCGCAGGCGGUUUGCUAAGACCGAUGUGAAAUCCCCGGGCUCAACCUGGGAACUGCAUUGGUGACUGGCAGGCUAGAGUAUGGCAGAGGGGGGUAGAAUUCCACGUGUAGCAGUGAAAUGCGUAGAGAUGUGGAGGAAUACCGAUGGCGAAGGCAGCCCCCUGGGCCAAUACUGACGCUCAUGCACGAAAGCGUGGGGAGCAAACAGGAUUAGAUACCCUGGUAGUCCACGCCCUAAACGAUGUCAACUAGUUGUUGGGGAUUCAUUUCCUUAGUAACGUAGCUAACGCGUGAAGUUGACCGCCUGGGGAGUACGGUCGCAAGAUUAAAACUCAAAGGAAUUGACGGGGACCCGCACAAGCGGUGGAUGAUGUGGAUUAAUGCGAUGCAACGCGAAAAACCUUACCUACCCUUGACAUGGUCGGAAUCCCGCUGAGAGGUGGGAGUGCUCGAAAGAGAACCGGCGCACAGGUGCUGCAUGGCUGUCGUCAGCUCGUGUCGUGAGAUGUUGGGUUAAGUCCCGCAACGAGCGCAACCCUUGUCCUUAGUUGCUACGCAAGAGCACUCUAAGGAGACUGCCGGUGACAAACCGGAGGAAGGUGGGGAUGACGUCAAGUCCUCAUGGCCCUUAUGGGUAGGGCUUCACACGUCAUACAAUGGUCGGAACAGAGGGUUGCCAACCCGCGAGGGGGAGCUAAUCCCAGAAAACCGAUCGUAGUCCGGAUUGCACUCUGCAACUCGAGUGCAUGAAGCUGGAAUCGCUAGUAAUCGCGGAUCAGCAUGCCGCGGUGAGUACGUUCCCGGGCCUUGUACACACCG
rnacentral:rRNA from 1 species